UCAUAUUACAAGAACACAUUGGUAUUGAAGGAACUAGAUACUGUUCCGAAAUAUCACUUACACGAACCGCCCUGACCGCGUAGCUCAGUUGGAAGAGCAUUGGGCUAGUAUUCCAAAGGUCGUAGGUUCGAAUCCCACCGUGGCCGGGCAUAUUUUUCAAGCUCGCCUGGUGUGGAUAUGCACUCAGAGUAACAUCACAAACAUAUUAUUCACCUGAGUACACAACACCAGCACAGAAAAAAUUCAUAUUACAAGAACACAUUGGUAUUGAAGGAACUAGAUACUGUUCCAAAAUAUCACUUACUCGAACCGUCCUGACCGCGUAGCUCAGUUGGAAGAGCAUUGGGCUAGUAUUCCAAAGGUCGUAGGUUCGAAUCCCACCGUGGCCGGGCAUAUUUUUCAAGCUCGCCCGGUGUGGAUAUGCACUCAGAGUAACAUCACAAACCUAUUAUUCACCUGAGUACACAACACCAGCACAGAAAAAAAUUCAUAUUACAAGAACACAUUGGUAUUGAAGGAACUAGAUACUGUUCCGAAAUAUCACUUACUCGAACAGUCCUGACCGCGUAGCUCAGUUGGAAGAGCAUUGGGCUAGUAUUCCAAAGGUCGUAGGUUCGAAUCCCACCGUGGCCGGGCAUAAGUUUCAAGCUCGCCUGGUGUGGAUAUGCACUCAGAGUAACAUCGCAAACAUAUUAUUCACCUGAGUACACAACACCAAC